AAGUGACAUCCUUCUUCUUCAUGUUCCUCAGGAUAUGGAGUGUGAUCUUCAGAGACCCCUCAAUGCCACAGGUCUCCAGCAUCUUCUCAACUAUGUACAGGGCUUCAGGAUCCUCCUGCUCUCUCUCAGUGCAUUCUGGGUAAUCAGCAAUUUGAUGACUCUUGAACAAUUCCUUCAUCUUCAUAAACGUGUCCAGUACAGAAGGAUCUUCUGUUCUUCUACUAUAAAAGCAUUCUGGGCAACCCUGACUCAGAUGGCUCUGAAACAGUUUCAACUUUUCAGUCUUCUUCAGCUUCAUCAGAGUGCGCAGGAGAGACUGAAAUAAACACAUUUAGAGGUGUGCUGUAUCAGAGUGAAAUAAAUACAUGAAGAGGGUAUGCUGUCUCAGAGUGAAAUAAACACAUGAAGAGGUGUGCUGUAUCAGAGCCAUGGAAACAAAGCCUUGCUUUAUUAUGGGUGGCACUGUAGUA